GGGAUACAGAUAUAUUUCAAGCCCUCCACUGCUUACCAGUUGGCCAAGCUUAGUUUUCUUCCAUAUGUUUCUGGUUUAAUAUUUUGAGUUUUCAGUGGGCAAAAAGUGUUGGUAAUUCUCAAGGUUCUACAUUUUCCUUUCUAGGCUGGUCCAAUUUAGGAAGUGGAAUCCUCUAGUGUCAUAAGGGGAGAGGCAAAGCCUUCAAUUCCUCCUAUGUUACUGAAAUCUCGAGUUACCCACAGUCAUGUGUUAUUCACCUCACCUCAUGCUCUCACAUCCAUCAGGAGAAGGGGUUUAUCAAAAAGAUACACAUUUUGGGGGUACCCUGGUGUCUCAGCUGGCUAAGUGUCUGGCUUCAGCUCGGGUUGUGGAUCUCAUGGUUCGUGAGUUUGAGCCCCACGUCAGGCUCUGUGCUGACAGCUCAGAGCCUGGAGCCUGCUUUGGAUUCUGUGUCUCCCUCUCUCUUCCCACCCCCUUCAAAAAUAAAUAAAUAUUAAAAAAAUUUUUUUUAAAAGAUACACAUUUUUAAAAUCAGAAAAUUAUUAAGACCUAUGUUCAGUAAACCCAUUUUCAAGAGGUAAUAGAAACAAAAUAAGAGAGGAGACACCAAUGUUCAAUACACCAUG